CUAGAAUGUCACCUCAGUCGACUCCUGUUCUCGCUGCAGUCAACAAGCUCUCUUCCAAAAUGGUUUCUCGCGUCGUGUUCGCCUGCUUGGUCGUAAUUCUGCUGGCUGCCUGCGCCUUGGCCUUCCCUGACCCGAGCGGAGGAUACGGAAUCCGCACCUAUGGAUACGGACACGGCCACGGGCACAUCGGCCACGGAUACGGACAUGGCUAUGGCGGCCACCGUGUGGUCUUAACCCAUGGCGGUUAUGGCGGCGGAUACGGAUACAGGCCGGCGUACUGGUGAAAGGCCACAUGCUCCAGUUAGAUGCUGUCCAUGGACUCUGCCUCCAGUAACAUGAUAGGUAACGAUAUUUUAACAAGAUAAGGAAACGAGAAUC